rnacentral:lncRNA from 1 species
CGAAACAAAUGAAACUUCUUUUGGAUAUGGAUAUAAUAGAGUUACAAGCAAACCAAAAUCUCAAUCGCCAGAUUCAUCAUAUGAUACUUAAGUCUCUAAAGGUAAACAACCAACAUGAAGAUUGCCCUCACAUAUACAAAGUGGAAGGUAAUAUCACACAUUGAAUAUUUAAUUUUGUUUUUAAUUUUUAUUCCUUUUAAUUUUUUUUCAUAAUUUUAAUUUCAAAUUUAAUUUGACGUAGCUGUCAGCCCCAAAAAAUUAUUUUUCCUUCGUCUCAAGUUUUUCUCUUUUUAUCUUUAUUUGUAAUUGUAUACUUGAUUUUCUUAAUCUUUUAUCUCUUUUGAUAUGUUUUUUUCAUCUUUAUUUUUAAAUUGAAUUUUAAUAUAUUUUAAAAAAUUAUUAAUAGUUACAAAUAACAUUGUAAAUAUAAAUUAUUUAUAACAAAUUUAAAAUAUAAUUUAUAUGUUUAAAAAUAUUUAUUUAUUAUGAAUUUUAAUAUAAUAUACUUUACAUAAGAAAAUAUAUUUAUUUAUUAUAAAUUUUUGUUACAUAAAGAUAUUCAUCUUGUCCAUUGUAAAUACUAAAAUAUUUUUUUUUAUGGAAAUAUGUAUUCUAUUUAAUUAGAUGGAAUAAAAAAUGUUUAAAAUUUUUAAAUGAAUGUCUAUAAUUCUUUUUGCUGAAUAAAAAAGAAUUGUAGAUAUUCAUUUUAGAUUAACAGAAUGAUUUUUUAAAGCUACUAGAUGAGAACACAUAAAAAAAGCUAUUAGAUGAGAGAAAGAAUCAGGCAAGAGAGAAAUUAAUUUAUUGGAAUUAUCUGAUUUAACAUAGAUGAUCAAUAUUAAAUAUCUAUACUAAUAAUAAAUCUAACAUAGAUAAUCAACAUUAAAUAUUUAUACUAAUAAAAAAGAAAUAUUCUAUUUUUUAUGUAUUUCAACUGUUUAGUUUGUGCUUUAAUUGAUUAUGAAAAAUGAUCUCUAAAUUAUAAAUAUUAUUAAAAAAGUUAACUCCUGAUCCAUGAUAGUUAUUUAUACUACCUUCGUUGUUUUUUUUUUAACAAACAAAUUAUAGUAUUUUAUAUUAUAACUUAUUUCUUAUAAAUAACAGCAAAAUAAAUGUUUUAAACUAGUAAGUCAUAAUAUAUAUAUGUUCAAUAUUAAUUCUUUUUACACCACAUCAUCCCAUACAUAGGCUCACAAACACUUAGAAUUUAAAUCUACAAAACAGUUAUAUAAUAGGAAAUGAAUUUAUAAAAAAAUGUUGACGAAUGAUCACAGCUAUUUAUUUUGAGAUAACUUAUUUAUUUUUUAAUUUUGAGUCAAAUGUAAUCCACUACUAUUACUUGAUUUUGUGGUGACUUGGAGUCAAAUUUUUUUUAACUAUCUAACAAUUUUCUUGAACUCAAUAUAUAAUACUAUACCUAUUUUAAUUUAUGAAAAAUACACUUGUUAUUAAUUUUGUAUUAUUUUGAAUUCUUAAGCAUAAUUUUGGUUUGCAAUAUUAGGAAAAGAAUAAAUCAAGAAGCUGAAGGUGUAAUAUUGCCCGUCUUUAAGUUGUAGACAUAAAUAAACGAAUAAAUGAAACAAAAAGGUGAAGCUUAAUUUUUAUUUUUUUAGUUAAUAUAUGUUAUACUUCAUUUAUGAGUAAAAGGCAUAUGGAUGAAGUAUAUCAUUUUUAUAUAAUAAUUUCCAAUUUAUAUUUUUUAUAAUUUUUUUUGUCUUAACCAGUUAACCCUCUUGUUCAUCCGGAAAAAUUAAUGUUGACUAAUUUAAAAUUUGGCUAAAAGACAAAUAAAGUCUUAUAAAAAAUUAUUUUUAUCAAUAAUCAAAUUCGAAUAGUAUUCAAACGAUUCAACUGUGAUUACUUUUUACAAAUUUAUAUUAAAAGUUAACUUAGUUUUGUAUAAAAAGGAAUUCAUAAAAUGAUCAAUGUUUAAACUAUUUUAGAAUUUAAUUAGAAUACACUAAUAGUAUAGAUUACACAUGCAGCUCCUCUUUCUUUUCACCCUACAUAAAACCCCCUAACUUUUGCAUUCCAAUUAUAGUAGCAACCCUUGAGCCCCCUAACACCAUUAAGAGAUUGUGCAUGUGAUUGGCACACGUUGUUUUAAUGACUUUUUAUCUUGAAAAUAUCCUUAUCCCCUUCCUGUGUGAUUUGUUUUCUAGCACAAGAAGUCAAAAACAACUGAAAACUCACGGAGGAAGGUAAUAAUCUAUAGAAACAAAAAAAAAAUAAAAUUGGUACACAACAAAUCAAAAUCAUCAACCCCCCACCCUAGCAUUGUCAAACUCAUUAUCAUCGUGGACCCAAUUUCAAAAACUCACCACUCACGGCUUGGUUUGAAAUGUUGUCCAUUGUCAUUGCAUCUCUUAGCUUUUGUUCUAGUGAUUAUAAUUCUGCCUUGUUUCUAAAGGCCAUUCCUCAUGGUCGUACUAUACUCUCCUUUAUGUUGACGACAUGAUUAUCACAAGGGAUGAUGUGGAUGGGAUUGCAUACUUAAAAUUGCACUUAGCAAGACAGUUUGAGAUGAAGCAUUUAGGUUCCCUUAAUUAUUUCAGGGGGAUUGAAGUUGUCUAUUCUCCUAGAGGUUAUCUUUUCUCUCAAUCUAAGUAUAUUGCCAACAUUCUUGAACAGGUCUGUCUUUCUGAUACUCGAACAACAAACACCCCUCUUAAGCUCAAUGUAAAAUAUGUCUCCUCUGAUGGUGUCCCUUUAUCUGAUCCCACUUUGUAUCGUACUAU